rnacentral:lncRNA from 1 species
UGAUCCCUCUACUCAUUUUUAUCCCCACAAUAAUUCUGUUGGGAAAGUUUGUCUGGGAGACCAUAAUGGGCUCCCUGACUGUGGGACUAUGACUUUAUAGAACAGGACACUCUCUGUAUUUUGUGGAUUAUAGUUCCCAUCAGCCCCAGCCAGCACAAUCCAAUGAGUAGGCUGGUGGGAGUUGUAUUCUACAACUUGUGGAGGGUGAUCCUUUGGAUAAGGCUGGAUUAUAGCAAGGAACUGUCUGCAAAGCAUUUCUGUUAAUGCCACCAGAUGUCACUUAUUUUUAAAUGACUUGGUGUUUAUUAAAGGUUUUGUGUUCCUUCAGUACAGAUGAAGAUUCAGUACAAAUCAAGUGUCGUGAACAGGCUGCUGUCCCCUUUUAUUCAGGAUGGUACACUUCUGCAGAAUACAAAUUUCAUCUGUUUCUGGAAAUCCUCCGGUCACCUUGUCCAUAGAAGAUCUGAGAGACAAGACCCUAGCGCUGCCGUGCCCUGCUGAAGCCAAGAGAAGCAGCAGUCCACAAAACACAGCAGGACCACAGGAAAGUGGGCACAGCAGACACAACCCUUUCCAGCCCUUUGCAGUUCUCAUUUUUGACUCAGUCAAAAGACAUGAGCAAUGGGCAGAAACACAAGUGAGAUCUCAGGACGGAGUCCUGGAAGAGGAUGGCUCUGCAGCAACAGCAGAAGCAACAGUCUUCUUGGCAGUGCCCAGGCAGCGGGUCGCACAAACGCAGUUCCACAUGGCAUGCAGCCCAGUGGUUCCUUUAGGGGGUGCAACCAGGCUGGAAAGUUUGCUGCUACACUUUGUGUGAUGCCAAGUGCUUCCUGUCGCGUCCAGGCUUCCUACAGAGCUCAACGCCCCACCACCACCACGCCACAUACACAACUGCUGCUCAAGCUCCUUGCUUCCACAGAACACAUCCUGUGCCCGGUCCUAUGACGAUGCCACCUGGCAGAUCAAGUCCACCACCUCCGCCAAGCCCAGCGACAUCCUCUGCCUCCCCUGCUAGCCCCCACAUUCUCCUGUGCCCUCUUCCCCUCCCCAUGAAUCUUGUGCCCCCCACUGGGCGCCGCAAUCCCAGUCAAGCCUCUCCCAGCCUCCCUCUUUGGGAGCCAGUACACUUCCCCGCUUCUCGUCGAGGAAAACUUUAAGAACCGAGGAGCACAAGGAAAGAGACGCUGCUGUCGGAAGAGACCGCGACCGCCGCCGCCGCCGCCGCCGCCGCCGCCGCGCGUGAAAGACACCGCUCUGACUCACCGUUGGGAUGAAUGUGGCUGGUGAGGAGGGUGCCAGCCAGCAGGACAUGCCACAGCCCC